rnacentral:lncRNA from 1 species
AGAGACAUCCAGUAUUGUCACCAAAAGAAAGAACUGUAGCACUUGCACUGUUAAGGAAUAAGACUAUUUAGUUGUGGGAGAGGAAGGAAGGGUAUGAGACAGACCUAUGUGAUUCAGCCAUGUGGGAUUGGCAUUGGAAGCCACAGAAAUUGUGUGGGUGCUCGCAUGUGAUUCCAGUGGAAUUCAUCUCCUGCGAUAACCUUGCCUUCUCUGGAGCAAGUACAUGUGGUUUCAGCUGGUCUGCCCGGAUUCCGAAGCUUUCCUCCCAUUGGCUUGUGGUCUGCUUCUCUGGCAGGUUAUUCUUUGGCCUGUCUGGCCCCCUCUAGGUAGGAUUCUAGGUGUCUGGGCUGUUAUCAGUUACCUGUGUUUCAAUUCCCUUUUGCUACCAGCCCUUCGUGCCUGUUUUCCACAGUGUCAGUAAUUCUCUUAUGGGACCAAGAACCCCUGUUGGAAUUUUACCUCUUUCCUUGCCUGCUGAAUACUUUUUCUGUGACUGUUUUGCAAGACUUAGCAACCUUGUUAGGAUGCUGACUGGCCUCAUCAGCUAAAACUCCCAGAUCUUUAUCACACUCUCGCCUCACAGUCACCAUCUCUGCUUUUCCUCUAUGUAUAUAAUGAUUUUUUCUUUAAUGUCUACAGAGUUCCUGUCGUGGCUCAGUGGAAACAAAUCUGACUAGUAUCCAAAAGGACACAGGUUCGAUCCCUGGUCUCACUCAGUGGGUAAAGGAUCCAUUUUUGCUAUGAGCUGUACUGUAGGUUGCAUAUGCAGCUUAGAUCUGGGGUGGCUGUGGCUCUGGCGUAGGCCAACAGCUACAGCUCUGAUUUGACCCCUAGCCAGGGAACCUCCAGAUGCCGUGGGUGCAUCCCUAAAAAGACAAAUAAAAUAAAUAUUUCCUUUAUUAGUCUUCACAGCUAUUAAUUUAUAGGCAUGUGAUUUGCAUGCUGGUCUUUAAUACUUCAGGAGAAAUCUUGACCCUAGAAGCUAUCUCAUCUCCAGAUAGCAGGGUUCCAUUGUGUAGCUCUCCUGCAGUGUUCUAAGUUAUGAGAGUAAGAAUAGCAGUCCCUUCCCCCCUCUGCCCUUCCUUCUAACCAUCCCUCUCAGGAGACAUUAUUCAAAUCCUCCUGCAUUCUUGUGUUAAUGAUGGUGCCCUUGGAGCACCACCGGCUAGUAGAGCUUUGUGAUUAUGGAAAUGUUCUCUGUGUCACCCAGUAAGGUAGCCAGUGGGCAUACCUGACUGUUGAGCACUUAAAAGGUAGCGAGUGUUACCAAGGAACUGCAUGUUCAUUGAUUUUAACUAAAUUUAAAUGGCUUCUUGUAGCUAGUAGCCACCCCAUUGGACAGUGGAAUUUAGUUAAGAAAAAAUAAGACUUAACCAGCAAGAAAAAAAGAUGACAGGAAGUUCCCAUUGUGGCACAGUGGAAACGAGUCCGACUAGUAUUCAUGAGAUGCGGGUUCCAUCCCUGGUCGGGGAUCUGGUGUUGCUGGUGAGCCAUGGUGUAGGUCACAGACAUGGCUCAGAUCCCGAGUUGCUGUGGCUGUGGCGUAGGCUGGCAGCUGCAGCUCCAAUUCCACCCCUAGCCUGGGACCCUCCAUAUGCUGAGGGUGCAACCUUAAAAAAGCAAAAAAAAAAAAAAGAUGACAGUGGUUUGUGACUUAAGUAGCUGCAUAAGUGGUCAGUCUGAAGGGAGCCUUAGGAGGGCACCAGGCCUCCCCCUGGGAGUCCAUUCCUGACCUCUGGACUCAAUCCUGGUCUCUGACCUCUGAUGGCCUCUUGGAGACCUCUGCCUGCACACUGGGAAGAUAAUCCCAAAUUCUUGUAUUUGCCUCAGCCCUGCUUUUGUUCCUUUAUUUAUUCUGUCAUCUGAUAGCAUCCCCCCGCCCCAGCAACACCCCACAGGGAACCUUGAGUUGGUGCCAUCUCCUUGCCUCCUAGAGUCAGUCCGUCACUGAACUGUGCUGCACCCCCAGCAAUAGCUUUGGAACCAGGCCCGAAGCCUCCAUCCAGGACAGCCAUGCGCCCCUGCCAGACAGUGGAGCAGACUGUGUCAUUAUUGUCCCUGUCCUCCCUCUGGACCUGCCUCCCUUCAUUCUGUCCUCUGCUCCUCACCUGGCAAGCCUGUCCCUCGCCUCCUAACCAUGUUUGCCUCGCAUGGCACAGAGGAUGACGCCAGGCCAGGGUGGCCCUCCCCUCCCCCAUCGCCCCUCUCUCUGAACUUCUCUCCAUUUGGAGGGGCUCUCACCCUCCCUUCUCUGUCUGAAAGGAUGUUUCUCCCCUUUCCUCCUCCUCAUUCAUCCAGGGACUUUCCUCAGCUACCUAUCACAUGAUUCUCAUUUCUUCCUCCUCGAAGUUCCUGCAGGAUGCCAUCCAUUGCUGUUAUUGCACUUGCCAUGUCAUCUUGUAAUUACCUGGGUGUCUGUUGUCUUCCUGAUACAUAGAAAGUGAAUUUCUGUAGGCAUGACCUCUGUCUCAUGGAUUCCUUAGUCCUUGCACUGUUCCCACACAGUUAGUUUGGUUGAAUAACCACAUGGACCUGAGCGUGCAUAGGUGUUGAAUGGGCAGAUACAGAAAGGAGGGCAACUGGGUCCCCAUGAAGAGCACAGGUAGCCUGGAGAGAAAGUAGGUUGUGGUGAGCCGCCAGGAGUUUUAAUUUGGCCCAUUUGUCCAUGGGGAGCUCCCACUGGAAGAAGAUUGGACUAGUGAGGUGGCAGGUAAGUUAGGACAAAGAGAAGCUGCCACAUAUCAGCACAGAGCAGGGCACUUAACAGGUGCUUGAUAGCUUUUGGAAGAAGGAAAAACGGGGGCUGUGAAUUUAAAAGAGUUGUUCUUGGAGUUCCCGUCGUGGCGCAGUGGUUAACGAAUCCGACUAGGAACCAUGAGGUUGUGGGUUCGGUCCCUGCCCUUGCUCAGUGGGUUAACGAUCCGGCGUUGCCGUGAGCUGUGGUGUAGGUUGCAGACGCGACUCGGAUCCCACGUUGCUGUGGCUCUGGCGUAGGCCGGUGGCUACAGCUCCGAUUCAACCCCUAGCCUGGGAACCUCCAUAUGCCGCGGGAGCGGCCCAAGAAAUAGCAACAACAACAAAAAGACAAAGAAACAAAAUAAAAUAAAAGAGUUGUUCUUAAAGGCAAAAGUAAGUUUCACAACUACUCUCUAAUGUUAUCACCAUUCUUUCCGGGUUUUUUUUUUUUUUUAAUGAUCACGGACCUGAAAAUUUCUGGAAUUGUCUUAAUUUCAAAUAUUGACUAUACUAACAGGGCAUGGGGGUUCCAUACUUGUUAAAAAUAAUAUAGCAAAUGCACUUAUAUUGAGCAAGUCAACCAAAUUCUGUUAAUUCUGCCUUCAAAAUGCCACUAAUUUUAUAUGAUGGGAAAUACAGGCAGUAGUCUUUAUUUCUCAGUGGUGUUUUUUCCCUUCUAUUGAAACAUUGUCCUAAUGCAUAGGAAAAAAAAAAAUCUCCAUUUAGCAAAGAGAUAAAUUAGACUACUAUUGUUGCAUGGGACUCCCUAUGUGCAUUAGUUCUCUGUUGCUGUGUAACAGAUUACCUCCAAACUUAGCAGCUUAAAACAACAACAUUUAUUAUCUCACAGUUUCUAUGCAUCAAGAAAUCAAAAAUGGGAGUUCCCAUCGUGGUGCAGUGGUUAAUGAAUCUGACUAGGAACCGUGAGGUUGCGGGUUCGAUCCCUGGCCUUGCUCAGUGGGUUAACGAUCCGGCGUUUCUGUGAGCUGUGGUGUAGGUUGCAGACUCGGCUUGGAUCCCGCAUUGCUGUGGCUCUGGCGUAGGCCGGUGGCUACAGCUCUGAUUAGACCCCUAGCCUGGGAACCUCCAUAUGCUGUGGAAGCAGCCCUAGAAAAGGCAAAAA